GUUCGGGUGACCCAGUGGUUAAGGUGUCACGCUUACAUUCUCAGUGUUUGUAUCCGUGAAAAUCGUGGGUUCAAACCCCACCCUGAACA
rnacentral:tRNA from 2 species